AUCCAGCUGACGAAUCCCAAAUAGAACGAGACGCGCUUACUGGAU
rnacentral:hammerhead_ribozyme from 1 species